GAAUAACAAAAUUAAACCUAAACCAACAAAAAGCCUGGUAAUCUAUGAUGAAAUAUCACCAAAGUCCUUGUAAUAGACUCUGGUAAGUGUUGAUGACCAGUGCAAAUCGUUAAUUGUCUGUGACUCUCUCACUCAAAGCCUGAAUCCUCUAACAACAACAACAAAAACGUAAAAUAAAUCAACACCCACAGAUUCCCUCUGGCACGGAAAAAGGUCUGCUCUCCGCUCAACUGACUGUCACAGAGUUUACACAUAGCAGGAGCAAUCCUUUCCCCCAUUCACUGGGCGGAAAACACCCACGACUUCAUUUUUUUCAGGUUGGAUUUCUUCAUAAAACAACCAGAGAGACAAAACUCCACAGUCAUUGUUCCGAAGCCUAAAAGCUUGUGAUUCUUUUCUAUUUAUUUUCAUGUCAACUUGCGCUUCGUUUUGAGGGUAGAGUGGGGUUUUAGCAGCUUAGGACGUUUUUGUCGAACGAGACAAAAGAAAAUUGACUUCCUGAGGGGCCCCCGUGCCCCCACCAGCGGUCUCCGAGCGAUUACGAGGAGGACCCUUUAGGGCCCGCGCUCGGCCGCGGUGCCUGGCAGCAGGAGCGCAUUUCGCAGGGACACGGGCGGCUCCGCGGGCCGGGGGCACUCCGAGGGACACCCCGGCACGGCACGGCACGGCACCACGCAGCCGGCCCGCCAGCGCCUCGCACGAGAACCUCUCCCGCACCGCCUUCAAGCCAGCCCCAAAACGUUCGCCACAGCCUUGCAACUCUAGACGACUGGGAAAAGAGGCGGCGGGGGGAGGAGGAGGAGGAGGAGGCGGAGGAGGAGGAGGAGGAGGAAGAAGUGGGGGGGGUGCCCCCCGCCCGCGGACGGUAACUUUACUGCUUCUUCCCCGGCUCCAGCCAAAAGAUUUCUUCCCGUCUGCUGCUGCACAGAAAGACAGCAACAGCAACAAAGCCAAAACAAAGUUAACAGCCAGCCUGAGAAAAAGUAAUAAAAAAUAUAUUAUUUUUUUUUCCUCGACACCCCCCAGACAAAAGGCAGAAGGCCACUUCUGGAAAUCCAAACAAAACAAAAGCAAAGCAAAACAAAAAGCACAGAGCUCUUGAGAAAAAGAACUAAUUUGUAACCUGGGAAAUGUGAGGCCAAUGGCCCGGUGGUGUGUGUGACAGACUUCAAGGUCCCGUUUGUUUAAUGCAGUACGCUGCAAUGGUAUGUCGUGCUGGAAAUUAUUUAUAUCCACAUAUAUGUGUAAUAUAUGACUUGCUUGGCUCUUGUUUUUUAAUUCUUCCCGGCUGAGACUUUGUCUAUGUGGUUUCAAAGUGGAUGUUAUACCCUCUUCUUAAAUGCUGAUACUACUUCUGUUUUACAGGAUGAGAUAUAAGUGGUGGAUUGUUUAUAUUUUGCUAUUUUGGCAGCUUUUGUAUAUGGGUCACACUUUUAUGCCAGGAAUCAGUUGAUGGGAGUUUGCAUCCAAAAGUGCUGAACUUGGCACAUUUCCUGCUCCAACUUUCUCCCCCUCCCCCUGCUUUUCUGGCAGGCAACUAUCAGUUAAAUGCUGGAAAGGAUUAAUGCAAAUGCUACUUUAUUUGUACCUUGCAGACAGUUCUUUUUCCUUCUCUCUUGUUGCUGUAGAUACUGUUUCUUUACUGUCAUUUUAAUGUAAUAUUUUCUCUCUGGCUGUGUUGGUGGUUUUGGUAGUUAAUGGGCUGCAAUGUUAAUGUAUAAUGUUGAGGAAAUGGCAUCGCUGUUGUGUAUGGUCGGCUAGAUAAAUUGUCUGG
rnacentral:lncRNA from 1 species